rnacentral:rRNA from 1 species
AUUGAACGCUGGCGGCAGGCCUAACACAUGCAAGUCGAACGAGUGGCGGACGGGUGAGUAAUGUCUGGGAAACUGCCCGAUGGAGGGGGAUAACUACUGGAAACGGUAGCUAAUACCGCAUACCAUCGGAUGUGCCCAGAUGGGAUUAGCUAGUAGGUGGGGUAACGGCUCACCUAGGCGACGAUCCCUAGCUGGUCUGAGAGGAUGACCAGCGACACUGGAACUGAGCAACAGUCCAGCCUCCUACAGGAGGCAGCAGUUGGGAUUAUGGCACAAUGGGCGCAAGCCAGAUGCAGCCAUGCCGCUUGUAUGAAGAAGGCCUUCGAGUUGUAAAGUUCUUUCAGCAAGGAGGCGUUCCUCGCAGAAGACGCACCGGCUAACUCCGUGCCAGCAGCCACGGUAAUAC